GGGUUUUUAAAUUUUUACACCAUUUUUAUCUUUUUUUGUUUUGAACCAUCAGCCCUUGGCCAAUCUUCCCAGAUACGUAUCAUCGGUAUAAUUUCUUAACUACGAUCAUAUAAUAAAUCUCAUAUUAUACUUAUUCAUUACGUUCACAAAAAGUUAAACCUUGUGGUUUUAAAAAUAGUAUAUUUUUAUUUUUUACAUUGUUUUAAAUUCUAACUGAAUAACAAUUCUGAAAUUGAUUAAUACGGGAGGUUGGCCAAUUCGAAACCACAUACCAGUCUCAUACAUGUUGACAUACGAAGUCAACUGAACAGUACUAAUUCGUAUUUUUAUAUCUGGUUUCACUGGGCUGAUGUUUUGUAUCGUUUUGGAGCUAUUAAUACUUUUUACGCUUUUUUGCUAUUUUAAGAUGUUUUUGUGACAGUUAAUUUAACUUUGCGAUAAGUUGCUUCUUCAUAUUAUGUUCAUCAUAGGUGUGCAGUCCAGUACCUAUUUAUGUACAAUGUUAUUAGAGAGUACGUGGUGUGGUAACCUGCUACAAAGUUAGAAAACACCAUUAGUUAGUUAGGUUUAUUAGUCAAUAGCCUAUAUGACUGACUAGUACAGUAUUGUCUACAUAUAUUACAUGACACUACAUUAAACAUUAAUUUGUAAACUAGGCUUAUCAGUAUACUGGUCGCUUUAGGAUAUUGCCACACAUGUACUUUCAUUCAUUUACGAAUUAGUGUGACAGAUACAAUUGAAAAUAAUAAAGAGAAACAAAGAUGCACAACUAAUCCCAAAAAAGCAAACGAAACACAUCGUAAAUUAGCUUCUUUGUCGCAAAAUGGCUGUUUGGCGUGAAAUCUUUUGAUGUACCCGAGAGCGUACAGUCUUCUUGAAAACGCACAGUUUUUUGUGACUAUUCUAUCAAUGUAAUUAAAAGCGUUCAGCAUUCAGUAUGCCAAUGCCUGAAAACGUACAAUCUGUUUGGUGAUCAGGUCACAAGCAUGCCUGAUUACGUACAGUCUGCUUGGCUUCCAGACUACUAGCUUACCUGAAAACGUACAAUCUGUUUGGUGAUCAGGUCACAAGCAAAACACAUCGUAAAUUAGCUUCUUUGUCGGAAAAUCCGGGGCUGCUUGGCGUGAAAUCUUUUGAUGUACCCGAGAGCGUAGUCUUCUUGAAAACGCAGUUUUUUGUGACUAUUCUAUCAAUGUAAUUAAAAGCGUAUUCUCUGAUUGGCAUUCAGGAUGCCAAUGCCUGAAAACGUACAAUCUGUUUGGUGAUCAGAUUACAAGCAUGCCUGAUUACGUACAGUCUGCUUGGCUUCCAGACUACUAGCUUACCUGAAAACGUACAAUCUGUUUGGUGAUCAGGUUACAAGCAUGCCUGAUUACGUACAGUCUGCUUGGCUUCCAGACUACUAGCUUACCUGAAAACGUACAAUCUGUUUGGUGAUCAGGUUACAAGCAUGCCUGAUUAUGUACAGUCUGCUUGGCUUCCAGACUACUAGCUUACCUGACAACGUACAAUCUGUUUGGUGAUCAGGUCACAAGCAUGCCUGAUUACGUACAGUCUGCUUGGCUUCCAGACUACUAGCUUACCUGAAAACGUACAAUCUGUUUGGUGAUCAGGUUACAAGCAUGCCUGAUUACGUACAGUCUGCUUGGAUUCCAGACGACUAGCUUACCUGAAAACGUAUAAUCUGUUUGGUGAUCAGGUUACAAGCAUGCCUGAUUACGUACAGUCUGCUUGGCUUCCAGACUACCAGGAUACCUGAAAACGUACAAUCAGUUUGACGAUCAGGUAAACAUCUGAAAGAACUAAUUAACGUCAAAUCAUUCGGCAAACAUGCUGACCGCUGAUGGCAAUCAGAUGAGAUAAACAAUUCAUCUGAUUCCCAAAAGUAAGUAUCUAGAAUGGGUUAUUGCCAAUUAAAAUGAACAGAAAGUUCUAAAAAAUAACUUUUACCAACUGGACAUAAUUUUUAUUCAUUUCGGCUUUAAAAAGUAGUUGACCACAACUCGUAGUGGUCAACUUCAGCGUACUUCAGCGAACACAAACGUAUUGUCUGCGAGAUUGUAGGCAAAUUUGACUAUUGGGAGUAACAUAUACAAUUAAAUGUAAACUCAUUGAGGGAUCAAAACCCGCGAUGUCAUCAGAAAUAAAUGUUAGAGGAGUAAUUUGGUACUAAAAAAUUAUGACAUCAAAAUAGUUGUAUUACUUUUACAACUGAUACUGCGGUUAUUUAAUUAUCCAUUAUAGAAUUCUCACUCACCAUCCCUCAUAGAUGUUCCGGCUAUUAGACCAAGCCAUUCAAUAUCUUUUCCACAAAUUCCUUUCUAAUAUGAUCGGACAAUUCUAUAUUGAUAUUUCAAAGAAUAUCUAUAUCUUAUAUCUAUAUCUACAUCUUAUCUUUGACGAAGUUUAGUGACUAUGAAAACUACCUUUUAAAAUUACAGUAGUAUGACAAUUUCAUUUUAA
rnacentral:lncRNA from 1 species